CUCCAAGGCUCUCACUCUGUAGUGUUAAGUUUGUAUCUCACAUUUCUCUCCCUAAAACUCAAGAGCUGGUUGAUAAGUUAGCUUCUGAAAGCCCUCAUCUUGAACCGCUUCUACUACUAGGGAACUUGUAGAAGAUAUGGAUAACAAGGUUCUUUUGAUCUGUGUUGGAGUAUGUUUUCUGGGGCUCAUAGCUGGUACACUAGGUGUAGGUGACGAAUCUGAGAUGGCUAAUGGAUCGCAUGCUGAAAUUGUCCAGGUCAACAUCAAGAAGACAAAGAACCAACAUUUUGCUGUGAUCGAAAUCAAUGAUUCAAAAACUCUGUCUGAGGAAAGACGUUCCAUAUUCUAACUAUUCCAAAUCAUCACCUCCCUCAUCUUCAUUACCUACUCCUUCUAACAUAUCUGAACCUCCACAGUCAUCAUACCCUCCUUCACUGGAAAAUCUGUCACAACUCCCUCAUGUACUCACCCACAAAAAUUCAUCAAAAACAACUAAAGAAACCAACUGCACAAUCAUCGGCGAUGAAGCUGAAUGCGUUACAGAAACGACAACCACCACGGUGAACAAAACCACAUCUGCUUCAUGGUCAAAGAACGUUCCAAAUGUUGCCGGAGGCAACGACAUGGGUUCCCAUGUUUUACUCGUAGUGUUGUUCCCAUUUUUUAUCUUUGUCAACUGAAGUUAUGGUAUUUUAGGGAUGAAAACCUAGACUUGAUUAUAAUAAUUCGUAGCUAGUCAUAUUAAUUGGUUUGUAAUUCUACUAUGUCAGUAUUAUCCGAUCCCUGGUCUUAAAUUAUGUUGUGCUUCUAAAUAGCAUCAGAAUUGAGCCACUUCUAUGUUGAAUUCUUGGCGACAGAUGUUAUGAGGAGAAUCACGUAUGUAAUCGCUGUGUGGGAAUACCUAGUAAUUAAUAGUGAAUGCUUGAAAAGAUAGGUCGGUUGUACCUAGAUA